rnacentral:lncRNA from 1 species
AUUUAAAGGUCCAUCCUGUGCUGCUAUAUACAAGACGGUCUAGACUAAAUUAUCAGUUUACAUGAGAAUGUGGGUAUCUAAAAUGCAGCAGUCAACACCGCUUGACUGUUUGGCUCGUGACCAGUGAGCCUGAGGGCCACAAAAUAUUGCUGACAUUCAACUACUGAAAAUCUCGUAUUACUUUAACAUAGACACUGCCAACAGAGAAGCAUUUUAAUACCUGCUUUCGGCCUGUUCUGCGCCAGCUAUGUAUGCACGUGCACACUGAGAACAUGAGAGAAAUUCCUUCUUGAGCUGAAAUAUCGUCAUCGACACACUACAAAGUACUGCCAUCCCCUCAUUCCAACAGGCCCCAUUUUAAAUAACUUGUUGGCUAGA